ensembl:lncRNA
ACUUUUUUCUCAGAGGAUGCAGUGGUAUAAUAGCAGCUCAGUAUUAUCGCCCUAUAUCCUUGGUAGAAUUUCCUCUUGCCAACUGAGAACUGAUCUUUUCUUUAAAAAAAUUUUUUUUUUGCUCCAUCUUCCCCUUUCAAUUAUUCAGUUUUGCUCUGUCUUUCUUGCUCUCUGUGCCAGUUACAGAAAGAAAUCUCAGAUGAGCAAAAUGUCAUUUAACCCUAGCACAUAUUGGUGAUUUUUAGACACUUUGUAGGAAAUCCUGGGAGGCAGCAGCAUCUGCAGGCAGGGAUGCACACCCAGCCAGUGCACGAUGCAGGUGCCUGCUCAGGCGAGCACUUCUGCUCGACCCAGCUGCACUCCAUUCCCUCAGAAACACGUUUGUCAGACCUGGUUAAACAAUGCUGGUAAAAGAACAAGAAAUCACAUUAUUCCCCCGAGAACUGUGUAUACACCUAACUAUUUUGCCUGCCAGUAAGAAUCUUGUGUCACUGUAAAGUUUAUAGGAGCUGACUGGCAAAGGAUGCCCUGAUGAUAAAUAAAAUACCCCUGUCCCAUGUGCCAUGACUCUGUGCAGCUGAGCAGCUGUGGUGUCCUUUUCACUUACCUUGGUACGAAGAUGUGGCAUCUGCCUUUGGACCCGCUGUUAUGGGCAGCUGAUGGGGUCCCACGAGGGGACACGUCAUACCUCGGGGUCAGGAACAACACCAGCUGUGAGCCACCUUCUGAUAAAGCUCUAGGCCUGCUGUCAAAUUCUUCAGCUUGCACACAAGCGCUGGGAUGAGCUCUGGGAUUGGUGUCAUCCAGCAGCUCCGCUGUGACCCACCAUUCUCUGGUACCAACUGCUUUGCUGCCAGGUAUCCUUCACUUGGCCCUGGUGGAAAAAGUUCUCCAGUGUUAAAACACUGCCAGGAUAAAGUGUUAAGCAUUUUAUAAGUCAAUUUAUGUGAUACUCAUCAGGGUAAUAGAAAAAUAUUAUCCAUAUUCAUUUAAAGGUGUGCUGUGCUUCCCUUCCCGAUUAGAGUAUGAAACUCCUUGCCAGGCUAUGAAAAUAAAGUGACUGUGAGAAUUUUUAAAGGCACAUUCCUCCUCGCAUCAUAAGAGCAUGAAUUCCAGGAAUUUCCUAUCCACAAGGAGUUUGCAUUCCUGGGACGAAGUGAUUGCACACAAACUGCCCUGAUGCUGCAGCAUACACUGCCCUGCUCCUUUCUGCUCUGCCUGGCCACCCAGGGGUGCAGAGUUUCUUAGCUUGACCCGAGCUGCAAGUGUUGAGUGUGGCCAAGAGUCAGCCACAUCUAUCUGAGGAUGAUUUUCAGUGAGAUGCCUGGAUUUUAAUUUAUGCAUGAUUUUAUUUCCUAAAUGUGGCCUUUCAUUUGGCUUGUUCUGUUUGUGCCAAGCUGCUCAGAGCGAGGUGAGCUUUGUGCCCAGCAGGCAGAGCCAGCAGAGAGGGUUUCUUCCAGUGGGUUUGUCCAUAUCUGCUCUGAGAGGGGACCAAGGGGCAUUUGACCCUGGGGCACAGUAGUGAUUCAAGUGAUAAUAACAGUUUGUGAAUUGAUUAAUUAGGUGAGAAACCACCUUUAAAUUUCCCCUGAAAAAAAGCAGCUUGAGAUAUUUUACUGUCAUAGGUUCUGAUCUGUACAUUGGUGAGGAGGCACUGAGCAGAGAUCUGGACAUAUCUGGGGGACUCCUGUCCCACCCAGGGCAGGUCAGAGCACACAGUGCAACCCAAGAAUCCUGCCCCAAAAGAAAUGUCCUAUGGAAGUAGAGCUAGGUCUUCUCAGCAGGGUCUGGUCAGGUAAAACUGGUCCCAGUUUGGAGACAGGACUGAGUCAGCAGCCCCACUCCCUGCUGAGCCCUUUGCUCCUGGCACCGAGCUGCUGAUCUGUAAUGCAGCUGGACUGAGGCACCCAGGGCACUCAGAGGAAAUGGGAAAUGUGUCUGGACAGUAGAUGAUUCACAGCUGCUGGCAGCUGAACUGAAGUUUUCUGGAUUUCAAUUUUAAAGUCAGGCACCUUUAUUCCACCCUGUUCCCACAGUGGGCACCUCCAUCCUCUCGUGUGCCCAGGCUCAGGGCUGUGUUAGUGCACAGCACCAGUGGCACUGCCUGCCUCAGAGGCAUUCUGGGGAGCUAAGGAGUCUUGAAAUUGGGACACUUCAGUUCCAGGACCGUGUGAGCACCUUAAAUACAUUGAUUUCAUCUUCCAGGGUAAGGUCCAGUUUUCAAAAGGUCCUGGGAAAUCCCUGCCUAAGCCAAAAUCUGGUUCAACCAUCACCUAAUUUCACUCUUCCUCCAUGCAGCUGCUGGCUGGUCUGGUACCAGGCUGCCCCAGUGCCGUUAUCUCUCCUGAAAAUAAUGACAGUUUGGGUUUUUUAUGCAUCAAACAUCCCCUCUUUUAAGAUCAGGAAAUAUUUGUUACAAAAACACAAGGUGUUCUUUGUUCUUCAAAGAUUACUUCACAAAGCUAUAACACAUCAGGCUCCAAAAUGUUUGUAGAUUGCCUGAAUUUCCUAAAGUAGGUUUAAUAAAUAAAGAGUCAAGACUGAAAACACUGUUUGUAGCAGGACUUCUCAUUACAUUUCGUGUCUAUAGCAGCUUUAUGAGGAUAUGCUGCUUUAACUCCUUUCUGAUGCAGUUUCUUAAUACAAGCAGAUUUUCUAGAUUAGUAAAGGUAUAGGAAGCAAAAACCUGGAAUUAGAUUUGCAGAAAGUCUGUUAUUUAUACUAGAUAAUGGACACUAAACCAAGACAAAAGAAAUGCACUGUCACAAUAACAAAUCCAUUUUAAAAUCCAUUUUCAAAGCAAUCAAAUCACGGCACAAACCCAAUGACAAGUAUAUAACAAUAAUGUAUAUUUAUGUGGCAACUUUCACCCCAAGGAAUCCAGAACCUAGGGAAGCACCAGAGCGGGAGGUGGCUCAGGGGUGGACAGAUCCCAGGGAGUGUCACAGGGGUUCCGGAGCAGCUCCCACAAGGUCACUGGAACAAACUUGCCUCCAUCUAAAAGACCCCCACAUGUCAGGAAAUGUGAGUUAUGCUUCCAGCUGAACUGCUGUGCCUGUGGUCAGCAUGCACGUGAAUGAGGGCUGAACUCUGCCUCUUUUUGCAAAGGGCUGAGCAACAAAAAGAGAGCAGUUUCCCCUUUUAAGGUCAUAAACAGGAUGGAAGUGCUGCUCAGCCCGCGGUUGUCCUGCUGCGUGAGGCUGCCCUGGCUUUGGGUGCACAAUCAGAGUAGUUCUGCAAGGGGAUUUUUACAGCUCUCUGAAAAACAGCAAUAUUUUUGCUACAUGUUAAUGGAAGCUUGACUUGAAGUCGGCUUGAGUUGCAGAACAAUGCUUAUAAUAAUGAUUUAUGUAUUAAAUGCGGCUGAUCUGUUAUUUUUAUUAUCUUGAUGCGUUUUUGAUGUUCAGUUCCCCGAAGAACAGCAGCCAAGUGGCACUGAAACCAGCUUUGAACAUGAGCAUGUGUGCAUGCCUUAGCAAACAGCACUCACCUAUGAUGUUCCAGUCAGGGCUCCGAAUAAUCGGGUGCAAGGAACGAGCAGCGCUGGCUGGGACGGCGUCACUCCACCGGCUCAGUGUGACAGAGUCAUCUGUAGUCAGGAGGGUUUCUGUAUUAUCUGCACGAGCUUUCCUGCCUUAUCUGUGGAAAAUUGAUCCAUACAGUCCCUUUAGAGACCUACAUCAAAUAUUAAUUUUGCCUAUUUGUUCAAUGUAAUUAGCAGGUGUGAUUAAUCAAUUAAUCAAUCUGCGAUUCCUAUCUGCAGCGCAAACAGCUGUGCUUGGAGUGGGACACUGGGACCAGAGAUCCCCCAAAACACCUCCCCACUCCCCACUGCAGGGCCACCCCCUGAUCCCAGGUCGAGGUCUGCAGUCACCCACAAGUGGCUCUUGCAGUGCAAAGUGCCCAGAGAGCACAGCCCAACCCUUUGAGUGGGGACAAUUCUGUCCUUGUCCCCUAAAAAGUUGUGAGUGUGCCUUGCCAUGGGGCUGGGGGGCAGGAGGAUGCCCCUAGAUGAGGUGUGGUGGCCCCAGUGAGCCCCCUGGGCAAAUGGACUGGUGGGGCCAGGGCUGUACUGGUCCCCUCAGCACUAACGCUCCAAGCAAUUCUCAUUUUGCCUGUGCCUGGAGGGGACACAGCAGGAAAGAGUUGCUAGAAGUGGAUGAACCCUUUAUGGCAGGCUUUUGGUGGCAUUCCUAACUCGAUUUUGCUGGUUGAAAGGAUGCAGGUAAGUCGUGUGAAGUUCAGGAAGAAAUAAGUUCUUUUAGCGAUGCCAGACUUGCUGAAUGGGCAGCAGACAAAAUCCCAGCCCUGUGCUCAGGGACUCAAUAACUUUUUAAAGCUCCUGAAUUGUUGCUGAAAUUCACAGAGGGUUGGGAUCUGGAUGGAUCGAGGGAUUGAGCACCUUCACAAAGGACUGAGCACCUUUGGGUGUUCCCACUGCCUGGGGCCCUUAUUUGGGGGCAGAGGGAGGGGUAUGACCAUGGGCAUUACAGGCAGAGCAGGGAGACAUGUCACCGUGCUAAAUUGCCAGGUUUGAGACUUUGCAUUUGCUGGCAGCAGGAGGUGAGGACCUGGCAGAGAAGCACAGCAGGACCCCAGGCUGUGCUCUGCUGAGGGCAGGAAUUUGAACUAGUGCAGGUACAGAAGCCUCCAGCACAGAACACGCAUUUUCAGAGGGUUUAUAGGGGAGCCUAUAAACCCUUUUCAAAGGGUCCAGAAUUUAUAGGGGACAUACUGAGGGACUUUGCCACAAUCUCCAGCAUGCACAGGGUUUCUUCCAGCACUGUGGUAGCUCAUGCUCUGCUUUUUAGUAAAUGUGGCAUGGCCAGGGUGCUGGGUCACCUGGCUGAGUGCCUUCUGCAGCACUACCCUUGUUCAGUGGGAUAUUCUGGAUCAUCCCCAUUCUAUCCUUCCUGGGUUUCUCUGCUUUCCUUCUGCUAUAAGGAGAGUUCUCCUCUCUCACACCUUGCUCACCAUCACCCUGGAGAGCCAGGAUCCAACUGCACAUAUACUGAGAUAAAAUAGGAAUAUAAUCCAGGAGUACCCAGGGAUGCCCAGUGUUGGCAGUCCCAUUCAAGGUCUGCCUGAAGUUCUUGUUCUGUGAUCUUUUAGCUCAGCAAACCCUUUUGCUGUAAUAUAAAUCCUUCUGGACAACCUGACCUUAACCUGGCCUAGGGUGGGGUGCUUUUUCCUCAUUUAUUGGGCUCAUUGGGCCUGAUUUCAUUCCUGUGCACUGAAUGCUUUGCUGACCCAGGAAGAUUUGAUGUUCCACAAAGGCAAAUGCCCCACAGAAGAUGAACUGGUCUUGGUUUCAGUUUGAUUUUUGGAUUAGAACUGCCCAGAGUAGCACUUUCCUCAGAAUAGUUUUUCUGUGGAGUAAAAAGUAUGUCUCCAUCUGAUGCCUUGAACUGUCAUCAUAAUAACCUCAAAUAUAGCUGUCUUCACCACAUCACCGUCCUCCUCUCUGACCCAUAAAGUUUUACCAUUACAACCUGCCCUUAAUCACCUAACCAUUUCCUUAGUCUUUCAAGGACAAUGGUUUUUAUGCCAUACUUGCUAACCUUACGUAUUAGUCUACCAUCCUGGGCUGUGUUUAAAUGACUUUUCUGAAAUCUAUGUGGAUUAGCUCCACUGCUUCGAUCCUGCAUAUUUUCUACCUUAGCUCCUAAAACAAAUUCUGCCAGAUUUGUCAGACAAGAUUUACCCUUUAUGGAGCUGGGCAGAUACAUUUUUGUCAGUUCAUAUUUCUCCAGAUGUUGGGUGAUCUCAUUCCUGUUA